UAUAGAAUGGUUUAUGGACUUACGAUGUCAUAAAAAUUUGGGUGGGAGUGUCCAUCAGGAAAAUUUCGAUCGAGUUACAGAAUUUUCUUGAAUCCGAGUACGAUAAUGUUUUUAUCAGCUGAUUGUAGAGGAGGAGUUUUGUCAGUGUUAGAUGGGUACUAACGUCAUCUUGUGGCUGCAUCCCUUUUGUUUGGCAGGGGUACAAGAGAACCAUGCAGUAACACAGAUAAAAGAUGCAGUUCCUAAGAGAUCCAAAGUCGCAGCUCCUAAGGCUAUACUGACAGAAUUAUCAACAUCCAAAACAAAUUGAUACAAAUCAAAUACAGUACUUUGUGACAGUGGGAAGAUAGAAUUUAAAAAAUGGACAUGGCACAAUAUUACUGCAUCAGAGAUCAAUCCGGGUUUACUUAUAAUUUGAAGAAAAACAGUCAAGCAUCAUUUGGAGCUACAUAUGUCACUGCCUUAACAAUAUGCCGGCUUAUAUAACCAAGCAAGCACAGUGACCAGUUGUACCUAUGAUGUUGGAAGAGAUCCUAAAAACCUUCCAGUACACUCAUCACUACCUGCAAAGAAAUAAAAAUUCAAAUGACUUGUAUCAACAUUUGUGUACAUUUGUACUUCAUCUGGCUUGUAUUUUCAGUAAUCAUUAGCCUUUACACUGUUGCUUCCUUCAAACAAAAUUGCAUAAGUACUAACUUGCAGGUGUAAAAUGUUUGAAACAGUUUGCUUCUCCCAAAGGAAAUUCUCUGCCAAUUAGCAGUGCAUGAGCAGUUGAUUGAUGUCACAGUUCCACUGGCAAAAUAUUUGUAGCUGAAUGGUGCCAUAUAAAACACUUUUAACAAGAACUUGGAAACAUCCUAGAAGUGAGCAUCUUCUACAAGAAAUUAAGUGAAUGCUUUCUUGAAUGUUAAUAAUGAUAUAAAAUGCUUGUGUACAUCCUAUAUAUAUAUACAACUAAUUACUCAUGUAACUACCAAAUAUACAAAAAUUAAACUUC